rnacentral:rRNA from 1 species
UAAACAUUGACAGUUAAUAACACCCACUGUCCGCCCGGGUACUACGAGCGCUAGCUUAAAACCCAAAGGACUUGGCGGUGCUUUAGACCCACCUAGAGGAGCCUGUUCUAGAACCGAUAAUCCCCGUUAAACCUCACCCUUCCUUGUUCUUUCCCGCCUAUAUACCACCGUCGUCAGCUUACCCUGUGAAGGCCCUAUAGUAAGCACAAUCGGCAAUGCCCAAUACGUCAGGUCGAGGUGUAGCGAAUGGAAGGGGAAGAAAUGGGCUACAUUUACUAAUAUAGUAAAUACGGAUGAUCACCCUGCAACGAGUAUCUGAAGGAGGAUUUAGCAGUAAGCAAAAA